rnacentral:tmRNA from 1 species
CAUCAAAACUGUGACUACACUCGUAGAAGCUUAUGUGCCGUUAUCUUCGGACAGGGGUUCGACUCCCCUCGGCUCCAUAU